rnacentral:rRNA from 1 species
CUGAGCCAUGAUCAAACUCUUCGUUACUCUUGAGAGCGGCGGACGGGUGAGUAAUGCCUAGGAAUCUGCCUGGUAGUGGGGGAUAACGUUCGGAAACGGACGCUAAUACCGCAUACGUCCUACGGGAGAAAGCAGGGGACCUUCGGGCCUUGCGCUAUCAGAUGAGCCUAGGUCGGAUUAGCUAGUUGGUGGGGUAAUGGCUCACCAAGGCGACGAUCCGUAACUGGUCUGAGAGGAUGAUCAGUCACACUGGAACUGAGACACGGUCCAGACUCCUACGGGAGGCAGCAGUGGGGAAUAUUGGACAAUGGGCGAAAGCCUGAUCCAGCCAUGCCGCGUGUGUGAAGAAGGUCUUCGGAUUGUAAAGCACUUUAAGUUGGGAGGAAGGGUUGUAGAUUAAUACUCUGCAAUUUUGACGUUACCGACAGAAUAAGCACCGGCUAACUCUGUGCCAGCAGCCGCGGUAAUACAGAGGGUGCAAGCGUUAAUCGGAAUUACUGGGCGUAAAGCGCGCGUAGGUGGUUUGUUAAGUUGGAUGUGAAAUCCCCGGGCUCAACCUGGGAACUGCAUUCAAAACUGACUGACUAGAGUAUGGUAGAGGUGGUGGAAUUUCCUGUGUUAGCGGUGAAAUGCGUAGAUAUAGGAAGGAACACCAGUGGCGAAGGCGACCACCUGGACUAAUACUGACACUGAGGUGCGAAAGCGUGGGGAGCAAACAGGAUUAGAUACCCUGGUAGUCCACGCCGUAAACGAUGUCAACUAGCCGUUGGGAGCCUUGAGCUCUUAGUGGCGCAGCUAACGCAUUAAGUUGACCGCCUGGGGAGUACGGCCGCAAGGUUAAAACUCAAAUGAAUUGACGGGGGCCCGCACAAGCGGUGGAGCAUGUGGUCCUGAAUAUUUACGGUUACCUUACGACUU